UACGUAGGGUGCGAGCGUUUGUCCGGAUUUAUUGGGCGUAAAGAGCUUGUAGGCGGCUCGUCACGUCGGGUGUGAAAACUCGCGGCUCAACCGCGAGCCUGCACCCGAUACGGGCGGGCUGGAGUUCGGCAGGGGAGACUGGAAUUCCUGGUGUAGCGGUGGAAUGCGCAGAUAUCAGGAGGAACACCGGUGGCGAAGGCGGGUCUCUGGGCCGAUACUGACGCUGAGAAGCGAAAGCGUGGGGAGCGAACAGG
rnacentral:rRNA from 1 species